UGUCUUUUUCCUUCCACCUCAGAUUCAAAUAAAUUAUUAUCAAACGAAAUUCUACACCACUCUCACAAGCCUAACGUCCUUGUUCUUGAUAAAGCCUAUCACCCUCUGUUGACACCAGACUCCAGUUAAAGUGCUCAAGAGAAACCCAAAAAGAUGUAUUCAACGCACCAGAGAAAUCGUUGUUGAGAGAAAUUUCCGUAAGAUAUCUCCAGUGAGGAAUCAGGUCCACUACAUGUGAAAUAACUGAAGAUAUCUUGGAGAAUUUUUCUCAACAACAGUGGCUCUAUGUGUGAGUUCAUUGAAGCGGAAUGCGUCAGAUGUUGAAACCUGAAGCUCACCGGAGCUGACCCCCCCCCCCGGACACAAGGAGGACGGUCGGCGAGAGGAGAGAUUGGAGUGGAAUUCGAUCGGCCUUAGAGAACAGUGAGUUCCCAGAUCUGACCGGUUAGGAAAGGGAGCCAUCAGUUAAAGGGUUUUGUAUCUUGAUAUGGUAUGUAAAGCUUUUAGGAUUAUUGAUCUAACAAAUGUAAGUUAAAGGGUUUGCUUCAAUCUUUUUUUUUUGUUAUUUGAGGAAUUGUGAAAAGAAUAAACCCAAGAAGAAACGAUUAUCCCUCCCAAGAACAGGGGGCGCCGUCGUCGACUUCUCGUUACUGCUCCGGCGGUGGGGUCUCUCGACGCCGUCGGUAGCGGUUCAUCUUCGGAUUCUCUUGUCUUCCUCGUCGUUUCUGUAGUUUUCGCUCAGAUCUGCGGAGCCUCCUCUCUCGCUUGUGUUGAGAUGGAGAUCCGGUCGGUUCAGGUUCUGUCGACAUCUUCUUAGUCAAGGUUCGUGGUCAUGAGCUAAACCCGUCCGAUUCAUUUUGGGCGGGCUACGGACGUGCCCAAUUAAUAAAUGGUCCAACUGGACAAAAGACCAAUUAGUACAUAGUCCAAUUGAGCAAAGACCAAAUAGACAAUGGGUGUCUAUGAGCUUCAUAAA
rnacentral:lncRNA from 1 species